UGCCCGAUCGCAUCGCUGCUACCGCCGCCGCGGGGGAGGCGCGGGGGCCGCCCGCCCUCCCGCCCCGCGAAACUCACCUCCCUUCCCCUCCGCUAGCCCGCUUCCACCCUCACCGUCGCGCUUCGGAGUGGGUGCCGCCGCUGCCGCCGCCGGCACAGGCGGUUUUGACCUUUCAAUAGAGAGCUGAUUUUGGAGAACGGCUUACUCCUGUGAUUGAAAAACUCUCUGGAAGGUUGAUGGAGCAUGAGCAUGGAGAAUCUUUCAUUGAGAUGAUUGAAAUUGCUGCAGUGAGAAUGGAAAUUACUUUGGCUCCUUUCCUUUUAAAAGCUGCAUGCGAGAACUGUGUGGGUCUGCCUGUGGUGCUGGACUGGGGAGGAUGUUUGUGGACUGUGCAAGCAAGAAGCCUGAUUCUGUAGGUGCUGCAGAAAUUAGUAAAAAAUUCUCUAGGCAAUGGAACAAAUGGCUGCAAGUAGAGAAAUCAAUGUCUUCAUGGUUAUGUCAAGUGAGAAUUCCUAAGAACUGAAUGUGAUGUUUAUUUUUCUGCCUGCAUUCUUGUGUGAUGCUGGACAAGUAACCAGGCCAUUGUUUCUGUAGUGCAUAUAUUGCGCUUUGCUUUAGAGGUGUCUGAUUUAAGACUCAUCUGAAAGAAACACUGGUGGUUCACAUUGGUAGCUGAGCUUCUUAGGAGUUGUCAUUUGAAUCAAAACACUCUGAAGUUAUGUCUGCUGACAGUCUCCUAUCUUCUUAAAGAGAACUUCAAACUGUUGCAUACUGUGAUAGUUUCUACACGUUCAUGUCACACUUAAAGUAGGGGUAAAUGGAUACAGCCCUUGAAGGGCUGUUAGCUACUUUUGUUUAGUAGCUGUACUACACUAAUGCAUUGCUUCAUAGAAUUUUCUAUGGCAUUUAUUAAUUCUGAUUUCAGAGGAAGAGGUGAGUACUGUGCAUCUUUUAAAGAUCAGAUCUGAAAUAAACUUUCCUUAUUACCAGCUCA
rnacentral:lncRNA from 1 species